CACAUACAUAUAAAUACAUAUAUAUACACAAACACACACAUAUACAGAUAGAUGAGGAGAGAGAGACACACACACACAGAGAAUGAAGUAUUGGUUUAUGUUACUGUUUAUGAACACAUGUAAGAGAUUAUAUAUAAAAUCUCUCUCACAAACACACACACACACAGAGUUAAGUGUGCAUCUGAGUGGAGAAAAAAAGGGGAGAGGGAGUGGGACUGGGAUUUUUUUUAUUAUUAUACUCAGCUGGUGCGACUGAAGAAAUUGAAUAUCAAAGCACGGAAGACGAUUUGAGACAGACACCAAAUGGCACCAAAGGAAGUAAGAGAGAGAGAGAGAGAGAGAAGACACAGAACACAAUAUACAGAAAGUUGAGAAGCAUGUAGCUUGUGUGUGUGUGAGAGAGAGGGAAAGAGAAAAAGAAAGAGGGACAUGUCUGUGAAUAAAUAUGUAAGACAUACGAUACCAGAAUCACAACUACUACCAACAGAAAAACCUAGAAUCUGCCAUACAGCACCACAGAUGAAAGAAUGAUGGUAUUUGUUGAGAAGAGAAAAUUUUACUGGUAACUUGAGCUGAUCAUUCAAAAUAAGCAGAAAGAGAUGAAACAGUCAAGACAACAGAACACGUUCGCCUGAGAAAGAAAUGAGAGAAUAAACUUCAUUCCAAACUCUUGUAUAUACAAAUAUAUUUAAAUGUACUAAAUAAAUAAAUACAAAAAAAAAGCUAUUUUUAACAAGAAAA